GUGUGGUGUUGGAAGAGGCUGUAUUGUGAGGAGGAUGCAUCAACACCCUGGAAAUAUGUUUGUGGUGCACUCACUCAUAAUACAUUUUUUGAGCGAUAAAUCAGUGUAUCGUCUUCAAGAUUAAUAAGAAGCCAUCAGUUAGAAGGCAGAAAUACAGAUUGAGGCCUUCAAUCAAACUGAGGACAGAGAAAUAUAUGUGCACCAGACAGGUCAAGGCUUCUUGCAUGCAUGUCUUUAAGAUGUAAGGUACACUCUAAAAAAAAUGUUGGGUUGUUUAGAUGACCCAGUUGCUGUGUUGCAGGCAUCGGGUCAAUAGUUGGGUUCUUUUCUCUAUAUACAGAAAGUUGUUGGUGCUGGGUUAUUAAGGUUGGGCUAUGGAUAUUUGCCCCAGCCAGUGGGUUAAUUCUCCCGACACCAGCGCAUUAAGUACACCAGAAUACUUGCAAGUAUUCUAGUUCGACUGAGUGACUGACGAGUCGAAAACGGCGAACAUUAUUUAGACAGACUGAUUGAAAACCAUGAAAUGAGGUCAAGGCCAAUGACUGGACAGCUUUGUAAAGAUAAGCUGAAUGAGUGGAACCUGGCCUCUUUGAUUCCAAAGUUUGAGGUGCAUGUAUUCAACAAGCCUUGGAUGAAGGACUUCCACAGGGCUGCCAUCUCCAAAGUUCACAAAAAAAGGCAAUAGUUCUGAACUGGGUUUGAUUUCGUUUUUGUUUUAAUUAUUAAAAUGCUGUUAAUUAUCUUUCAAACUUCCAUUGGUUAAUCUAUUGCUCAGUUAUCACUUGACUCAUAUAAAUAAUUAUGUAGUUGUCCCUUUAAACAUCCUAAGGUCAACAUCCCCAUAGUGUUCACAUUUCUCUCAUGUAAAUGUUGUAGCUACAUAAAAAGAUUAAACAAUUUAUCUGGGAAAUAUCCAGUCUUUGCUAUUUUCUUCAUUACCAUGCUGAUGAUUUCAAGUUGUAUUGGAUUUAUUUUUAUCUGUUAAAGACAUUGAAUACA